GGGAUUGUAGUUCAAUUGGUCAGAGCACCGCCCUGUCAAGGCGGAACCCGUAGCUUCCGCCUUGACAGGUAUAAGAGACAGAGCUGCGGGUUCGAGCCCCGUCAGUCCCG
rnacentral:tRNA from 1 species